rnacentral:rRNA from 1 species
CGCAGCCGCGGUAAUUCCAGCUCCAAUAGCGUAUAUUAAAGUUGUUGCAGUUAAAAAGCUCGUAGUUGAAUUUCGGUAUCAAUUCGUCGGUCGUGCUUUUUUGGUACGUACUGGCGUUAUUGGUUUCUCCCUUCUGACGAACCAUGAUGUCAUUAAUUUGGUGUUAUGGGGGUUUAGGACUGUUACUUUGAAAAAAUUAGAGUGUUUAAAGCAGGCAUUAGCUUGAAUACAUUAGCAUGGAAUAAUGAAAUAGGACGUUCGAACCUAUUUUGUGGUUUCUAGGAUCAACGUAAUGAUUAAUAGGGAUAGUUGGGGGCAUUAGUAUUCAAUUGUCAGAGGUGAAAUUCUUGGAUUUAUUGAAGACUAACUACUGCGAAAGCAUUUGCCAAGGAUGUUUUCAUUAAUCAAGAACGAAGUUAGGGGAUCGAAGACGAUCAGAUACCGUCGUAGUCUUAACCAUAAACCUAUGCCGACUAGGGAUCGGAUCGAUGUUAAUUUUAAUGACUCAUUCGGCGUCCUU